rnacentral:rRNA from 1 species
GCCUACGGGUGGCAGCAGUAGGGAAUAUUGCACAAUGGGCGAAAGCCUGAUGCAGCAACGCCGCGUGCGCGAAGAAGGUCUUCGGAUCGUAAAGCGCUUUUCUGGGAGAUGAGAAAGGACAGUAUCCCAGGAAUAAGUCUCGGCUAACUACGUGCCAGCAGCCGCGGUAACACGUAGGAGGCGAGCGUUAUCCGGAUUCACUGGGCGUAAAGCGCGUGCAGGCGGUUUGGUAAGUUGGGCGUGAAAGCUCCCGGCUCAACUGGGAGAGGUCGUCCAAUACUACCAGACUAGAGUACGGUAGAGGAAAAUGGAAUUCCCGGUGUAGUGGUGAAAUGCGUAGAUAUCGGGAGGAACACCAGUGGCGAAAGCGAUUUUCUGGACCGUUACUGACGCUCAGACGCGAAAGCUAGGGUAGCAAACGGGAUUAGAUACCCUAGUAGUC